AGUGUAGGUGGCUCAUUAAGUCACAUGUGAAAUCCCCGGGCUUAACCUGGGAACUGCAUGUGAUACUGGUGGUGCUAGAAUAUGUGAGAGGGAAGUAGAAUUCCAGGUGUAGCGGCGAAAUGCGUAGAGAUCUGGAGGAAUACCGAUGGCGAAGGCAGCUUCCUGGCAUAAUAUUGACACUGAGAUUCGAAAGCGUGGGUAGCAAACA
rnacentral:rRNA from 1 species